rnacentral:rRNA from 1 species
UACGUAGGGGGCAAGCGUUGUCCGGAAUCAUUGGGCGUAAAGAGCGUGUAGGCGGCCAGAAAAGUCCGCUGUGAAACUCGAGGCUCAACUUCGAGCUGUCGGUGGAAACUUCUGGCUAGAGUCCGGAAGAGGAGAAUGGAAGUUCCUGGUGUACGCGGUGAAAUGCGCAGAGUAUCAGGAAGAACACCCCGUGGCGAAGGCGGUUCUCUGGGACGGUACUGACGCUGAGACGCGAAAGCGUGGGGAGCGAACAGG